AUGAUAGAGGAGAUGACAGCACUUGAUAAAAAUAAUACUUGGGUACUCACUACUCUUCCUCCUAACAAAAGGGCUGUUGGUUGUAAAUGGGUAUUUACUGUAAAACAAAAUUCAGAGGGAAAAGUAGAAAGAUAUAAAGCCAGGUUAGUGGCAAAGGGGUAUAGUCAGACUUAUGGAGUGGACUAUGAUGAGACCUUCGCACCAGUGGCGAAAAUGAACACCAUUAGGGCUCUCAUAUCUAUAGCUGCAAAUAAUAAGUGGAGGUUAUUUCAAAUGGAUGUUAAAAAUGCUUUUCUUCAUGGAGAUUUGAAAGAAGAGGUUUAUAUGGAGAUUCCCCCUGGGUUUGGUACACAAGAAACAGAGGGCAAUGAUGAUGAUGGGAUAGCAUUCCUAAAGAAGAUGUUGGCCAAGUCAUUUGAAGUUAAGGAUCUGGGUUUUCUUCAUUAUUUCCUGGGAAUUGAGGUUGCAUAUGGAUCACAAGGCAUUUACUUAUCGCAAAGAAAAUAUGUACUUGAUUUACUCGCUGAAACUGGCAUGCUAAAUUGUAGACCAGCGACAACUCCAAUUGAGCAGAACCAUCGUAUUCGAGCAGAUUCUGGUGAUCCUGUGGACAAACAUCAAUAUCAAAGGUUAGUUGGUCGGUUAAUUUAUUUAUCACACACUAGGCCAGACAUUGCCUAUGAUGUUAGCUUGGUGAGCAGAUUUAUGCAUGACCCGAGAUCAAGUCAUUUAGAUGUUGUGCACAGAAUACUAAGAUAUCUUAAAGGUUGUCCGGGAAGAGGGAUUCCAUUUUCUAAUCAUGGACACUUAAAAGUAGAGGGUUUUACUGAUGCUGAUUGGGCUGGGUGCCUAGACGAUAGAAGGUCUACAUCUGGCUACUGUGUUUUCGUUGGUGGUAAUCUUGUUAGUUGGAGGAGCAAAAAACAAAGUGUGGUGGCACGAUCUACUGCUGAAGCAGAGUUUAGAUCCAUGGCUUCAGGAUUAUGUGAAUUGAUGUGGUUGAGGAUACUAUUAUCUGAACUUAGGCUUUUUGAUGGAGGACCACUGCAACUUUUUUGUGAUAACCAGGCUGUAAUCAAGUUAAUACACAAUCCAGUCCAGCAUGAUAGAACUAAACACAUCGAAAUUGAUAGACAUUUCAUAAGAGAAAAGCUAGACGAGGGACUUCUCCAAGUUGACUUUGUUAGAUCUGAAAAUCAACUUGCAGAUGUAUUAACAAAGGGUGUUAGUGUUGUAUCUUUUGAAAAACUAUGUAGCAAGAUGGGGCUCGUAAAUAUAUUUGCCCCAUCUUGA
rnacentral:rRNA from 1 species